rnacentral:lncRNA from 10 species
AUUGUUGAGAGCAAUUAGAUGGAUGACCGUGCGCUGUCCGUGGCAGUGUACAUUGAUAUUAUUAUUAUGAAAACAAAUUUGGCUAUAUGGAUCAAGACACUUAAAGAUUUAAUGUCUGGUAAUUGUAACAAUCUGUCCUAAGCAACUAUCUAGAGACUUGUAUGAAGAACUCUGAACAGAGCUGUUCAUAGCAGUUUAAAAUAAUAAGAAGUUUUAAGUAACCAAACUGUCAAAAAGUUAGGAAGUUAUUAUACAAAAAUAUAGUAACAACUGUGGAAAGAAAUUUUAGGCAACGAACAAAAAUCAAGACAUGUUUAAAUGAUGACAAUAUAAUAUUAGAGGAGAAAGCAGGAUAAAACUGUGUAUUAAAUAAAAUUGAAUUGUGUCUGCUUUGGGUCUGGAUCCCUCAGGUGCCCGUUUGGUGACAGGAGGAUAUGACUCUGAUGUUAAGUUUUGGGAUUUUGCUGGAAUGGAUGCUUCUUUUAAGGCAUUUCAAUCCCUUCAGCCCUGUGAGUGGUAUGCAUUCACUUACUUAAUAUCUUCAUAUUUGACUUAGUAUCUUCACAUUGGAAGACAGUGCUAUUGGCUUUGGAAUCCCAUCUACAAGGAUUUGUAUCAAAAUACAUUAUGUUUAUAUGACUGUAUACUGCCUUCAUAAUUUAAAUGAAGUAAAAUGAGCC